ACUCAAAUGAAUAGACGGGGGCCCGCACAAGCAGUGGAUUAUGUGGUUUAAUUCGAAGCAACGCGAAGAACCUUACCAGGUCUUGACAUCCAACUAACGAAGCAGAGAUGCAUCAGGUGCCCUUCGGGGAAAGUUGAGACAGGUGGUGCAUGGUUGUCGUCAGCUCGUGUCGUGAGAUGUUGGGUUAAGUCCCGCAACGAGCGCAACCCUUGCCAUUAGUUGCUACGCAAGAGCACUCUAAUGGGACCGCUACCGACAAGGUGGAGGAAGGUGGGGACGAUGUCAAAUCAUCAUGCCCCUUACGACCUGGGCCACACACGUAAUACAAUGGCCGUUAACAGCGUGAGGCGAACCCGCGAGGGGGAGCAAAACACCAAAAACGGUCCCAGUUCGGAUCGCAGGCUGCAACCCGCCUGCGUGAAGUCGGAAUUGCUAGUAAUCGCGGAUCAGCAUGCCGCGGUGAAUACGUUCCCGGGCCUUGUACACACCGCCCGU
rnacentral:rRNA from 1 species